rnacentral:rRNA from 1 species
CCAGACUCCUACGGGAGGCAGCAGUGAGGAAUAUUGGUCAAUGGGCGAGAGCCUGAACCAGCCAAGUCGCGUGAGGGAAGACGGUCCUAUGGAUUGUAAACCUCUUUUGUCGGGGAGCAAAAAGGCCUCGUGAGGCCACAAGUGAGAGUACCCGAAGAAAAAGCAUCGGCUAACUCCGUGCCAGCAGCCGCGGUAAUACGGAGGAUGCGAGCGUUAUCCGGAUUUAUUGGGUUUAAAGGGAGCGUAGGUGGAUUGUUAAGUCAGUUGUGAAAGUUUGCGGCUCAACCGUAAAAUUGCAGUUGAAACUGGCAGUCUUGAGUACAGUAGAGGUGGGCGGAAUUCGUGGUGUAGCGGUGAAAUGCUUAGAUAUCACGAAGAACUCCGAUUGCGAAGGCAGCUCACUGGACUGCAACUGACACUGAGGCUCGAAAGUGUGGGUAUCAAACAGGAUUAGAUACCCUCGUAAG